ACCUCAUCAAUUGGAAGGGUUUCCUUCCAGUCAAUGAGGUACAUGUACCUCGUUGACGGGAAGGAACCCCUUCCGGUCAAAGAGGU
rnacentral:miRNA from 1 species